UUGUGUCCACCAGCAGUGUUGCGAGUCUGACGAGCUCAAUCCGAACCCGGGAAUUCUGAUUCUUAUGCACACGUUGUUGGUUUAAUAUACCUACUUUGCGGUGGACCUUGCUGGAGAAAGUUGAUACCAUUAUGCAGCGUUUUGUGGACAGCUGUGUAGCUUGUGAGAUGAGAUGGCAUCAAGUCUCUGACUUCGAUGUGCACAAUGUUUCAGCAUGCGGGGGGCCCAGCUGCUUCUAGCUAGAUUUUGUCAUUCUAAAUUAUGCUUCAGUUGCUUACAGACAGUUUUUUUUUUUUUUCUUUUUUUCUUUUUUUUUUUUUUUUGCUUUGGGCUACACACACUUUGUGAGAAAGAGAUUGUUGUUACCUUCCAAGUUGGGUUUUCACAUCAGGCGAAACAGCCAAGGCUUCAGUUACAACUUGGACAUUUGCGCUGCGCCAUUUUCUGGACAUUUUGCAGGAACACUUGUCAUUGAUUCCUUUAAACAUUCCCUCAGCCUUGGAACAAUUGUGCUGGGCUGUUCGGAAGGCAAAAAAUGUGAAUGCGGGGCCUAACACUUGGUGCUAGCGCAUUGGUCCCACACAAGUGGAACCAACCAUCUUGGACUUAUCAGCAAGGGGAAGAUUCCCUUGCUAAGGAAUUAGGUGGCAAAAUUGAUGGUGCAGAAUAAUUUAUGGGGCUUGCAUAACUGAGGCGGAAACCCCAUGAUCACUGGCGUGUUAAUAGUGGGGGGGUUAACUAAUUCCAUCUCCAUCUUGUCCCCCCUUACAAUUGCUUCUCUGAGGUCUAACCACCGCCCAGUGUAAGUUAUUUUCAGUUACACAAACAUGUAUUUCAUUUUAUGCAUAGAAAAAAUUGCAGUUUCUUGUGGAACGGAUUGAGUUCUAUUGUAAGCACUGACGUGUGUGGAAAAUGGCUGUCAGUACAGUAGAUAGGCAUCUCAAACAAAAUGACUUUAGCAAACAAUAUUCCUUUGCAAAUAGAAUGACUUUUUAAGCAUCACUCCGCAAUUACUAAUAAGUUUUAAAAAUAGAAAUGUGAAAUGAUUGCCUUACCCUGAAUUUUUGAAAUAUAUG
rnacentral:lncRNA from 1 species